CCUACGGGAGGCAGCAGUGAGGAAUAUUGGUCAAUGGGCGCGAGCCUGAACCAGCCAAGUAGCGUGAAGGAUGACUGCCCUACGGGUUGUAAACUUCUUUUAUAAAGGAAUAAAGUGAGGCACGUGUGCCUUUUUGUAUGUACUUUAUGAAUAAGGAUCGGCUAACUCCGUGCCAGCAGCCGCGGUAAUACGGAGGAUCCGAGCGUUAUCCGGAUUUAUUGGGUUUAAAGGGAGCGUAGAUGGGUUUUUAAGUCAGUUGUGAAAGUUUGCGGCUCAACCGUAAAAGUGCAUUUGAUACUGGCAGCCUUGAGUACAGUUGAGGUAAGCGGAAUUCGUGGUGUAGCGGUGAAAUGCUUAGAUAUCACGAAGAACUCCGAUGGCGAAGGCAGCCGACUAAUCUGCCACUGACAUUGAGGCUCGAAAGUGUGGGUAUCAAACAGGAUUAGAUACCCUUGUAGUC
rnacentral:rRNA from 1 species